CCUACGGGAGGCAGCAGUAAGGAAUAUUGGACAAUGGGCGAAAGCCUGAUCCAGCCAUGCCGCGUGAAGGAUUAAGGCCCUCUGGGUUGUAAACUUCUUUUAUAGGGGACGAAAAAAGGGAAUUCUUUCCCUCCUGACGGUACCCUAUGAAUAAGCACCGGCUAACUCCGUGCCAGCAGCCGCGGUAAUACGGAGGGUGCAAGCGUUAUCCGGAUUCACUGGGUUUAAAGGGUGCGUAGGCGGGUAGGUAAGUCAGUGGUGAAAUCUCGAAGCUUAACUUCGAAACUGCCAUUGAUACUAUUUAUCUUGAAUAUUGUGGAGGUUUGCGGAAUAUGUCAUGUAGCGGUGAAAUGCUUAGAUAUGACAUAGAACACCUAUUGCGAAGGCAGCAGGCUACGCAUAUAUUGACGCUGAGGCACGAAAGCGUGGGGAUCAAACAGGAUUAGAUACCCUGGUAGUCACGCCCUAAACGAUGAUUACUCGACAUUUGUGAUACACUAUAAGUGUNUGAGAGAAGANAUUAAGUAAUACCACCUAGGAAGGUAACGACCGACGAAGUAGAACGUACAAGAAGUAGUAGACGNGNGAGAGCGACGACGACGACGAGGAGGAGGAGG
rnacentral:rRNA from 1 species